GACGAACGCUGGCGGCGUGCUUAACACAUGCAAGUCGAACGGAAAGGCCCUGCUUUUGUGGGGUGCUCGAGUGGCGAACGGGUGAGUAACACGUGAGUAACCUGCCCUUGACUUUGGGAUAACUUCAGGAAACUGGGGCUAAUACCGGAUAGGAGCUCCUGCUGCAUGGUGGGGGUUGGAAAGUUUCGGCGGUUGGGGAUGGACUCGCGGCUUAUCAGCUUGUUGGUGGGGUAGUGGCUUACCAAGGCUUUGACGGGUAGCCGGCCUGAGAGGGUGACCGGCCACAUUGGGACUGAGAUACGGCGCAGACUCCUACGGGAGGCAGCAGGGGGGAAUAUUGCACAAUGGGCGGAAGCCUGAUGCAGCAACGCCGCGUGCGGGAUGACGGCCUGCGGGUUAUAAACCGCUUUCGCCUGUGACGAAGCGUGAGUGACGGUAAUGGGUAAAGAAGCACCGGCUAACUACGUG
rnacentral:rRNA from 1 species